AUAAAAGAAAAAAUAGGAUGAAAUAAAAGAUGGAUGGGAGGCAGAGGUUGCCUCCGAAUUUUGGCAACCUCUCUACCGAUAAAAGUCUAGGCUGCUUCAGAUUUGCUCUCUCCUCUCUUGUUUUUAAUUGGAUUUUAUUCUACAAGCUCUAGCGCUCUGAAAAGGUCUAGUGCUGUCUCUUUGGCAUUAUAGGUGUGUUGCGGUGCAGCAACUUUUUGCUCUUCUAUUUUCUUUGGUUGUUGGUGGAGGGUGUUGCAGGUGCUCUUCCGGUGAAGGCUGUUCUUAUGCUUUGUGAAUUUUGACAUUGGGUUGAAGAACUCCAAAUUUUUGGUGGCUCCCUGAUUUGUAUGUGUGGCUGCAGAGGUGCUAUAGCUGAUGUGGAUGACUGUUCCUAUUGAAAACGUCAUUAUUAUUAAUAUGAUCAAUUGAUACACAAUAUAUAUAUAUAUAUAUAUAUAUAUAUAUUAUGUGUACCAUGGUUACACCAAAAGUCACAACUCUUGGUAUAAGGUCAAUAUAUAGUAGAUAGUAUUCUAUACAAGAGACUAGUGUACUAUAUAAUAUAAUUCUUCUAAUACUCUUAUUAGUACACUAAUCUUCAUCCUUGAAUUGGAUUUCAUCUAUUAGAGAAGUUCAUCCAUUAUGAAAAAUAUGUAGGAAAAAUAUAGGGUUUUAAUUUCCUUUUUGGAUGUUGCAUUGAUGUAAAGCUCUCUCACAGCUCUUCCAAUGCUUCUUUAAAUCUGAGAAGGCACCUUGACGGGCUUUGCGGUGGGAUUGACCGUCGAUGCGGGGUCGGCCAUGGCGGGCUUUGCUGCUGCAAUGGAAUCGACUGUGGUCGACUUCGCUAUUGCUAUAGCAAGCUGCACUAUUGCAAUGGAGUUGCCAGCUAAUGCGAGAAUAGUCGUGGCGGGCUCUGCUGCUGCUAUUGUAGUAGGCUCUGUUGUUGCUGUGGUGAGUUCCGCUUCUCCUAUGGCAACAAUUUGUAUAUUUUGAUAUUUCAUGGAUUUUGAGUGAAGGAACUUACUGUGUGUUCUCUCAUUCCAUGAUGUAUCAAAAUAUGGUUGUUGUAGAAGGUCUGAUGAUUUAGAGUAGACUAAUAAUGCUUGAAUUUUUGUAGAAUAAGUUUCUUGUUUUGAAUUUAGAGGAAUAGAAUACAUGCCUAGUUGAGAUAGGCACUGGAAAUGUUUCUCUUUGGGAAGGGAUUUUGUAAAUACAUUUACUGUCAUAUAUGUGGUUAGCUCAUAUUGUAAUUUAAUUUCCUUGGCAAGUAUCUAUUCUCUUGUAAAAUGGUAUUGUGUAUCCACAUGUUUGCUUCUGGAGUGAUAUUUUGGAUUUUCAUUGAGAGCAAUUGUACUUUGACUAUUUGAAUAUAUGAUAGUUGGUGCAUGUUGAGGGAAUCCAAGUUCAUGUAAUAAUUUUCUCAACCAUAUGGCUUCAGUGGUUGCUUUUGUUAAAGCCAUAUAUUCGGAUUGUCUGGAUGAUAAAAUAAUAGAUUAUUGUUUCUUACUGCCCCAAGAGAUAACUCCUCCAACUAGUAGGAAGCAAAAGUCAGAGGUGGAGCAAUGGAUGUCCUUAUAACCUGCCUAGUCAGCAUCAGAAUAACCAUGGAGAAUAUCACCUUGAAAUAAGUGUUGAUAUUUUAUUCCAAAAGAUAAUGUACCUUUUAUAUAUCUUAUAGUUCUUUUCAAAGUUUGAAUAUAUGUAGAUCCUCGUUUAGAGAGAUAUAGUGCUAAACUGCUGAUAGCAUAAACACAAUCGGGUCUAGAAUUAACAAUGGCAUGCAUUAAAUUGCCAACAAUUUGAAAAUAGAGAUAAUCACAUAAAGUAAUAUGGUCUUCAUUAUUUAAACGAAUUCUUGGCUGAAUUAGGAUGCUUAAUGGAUUGGAAUUCAACAUAUUGAAUUCAUUAAGUUUAUUUGUUAA